CUUGUUAAAAGUAUUACUUUGUUUCACAAUAUACAAAAAAAGAAAAAGAAAAACUCCAUCCACCGGAAUAAUAUUGACAAAAACAUGACAGUAGUAGAUCAUCAGUACAAUGUAGUGCAACAUGUUUCACAACUCUGAACACUGACGAUUAAUCACCAUAUUUACACUCCGAUUCACUUUGAUUCAAAUCAGACGCAUAAGAGUUAAAGAGACAAGAUGAAUAAAUAAAUCAGUACAUGUUUCUGUGUGUUUCAAGUGAUUUCCAUCAGGUAAAACUGCAUCUUGUAGUUGUAUUAAAGCAGAUUAUGAAGAGUUUCGUCCAGCUCAGAACGAGUUAUUAAGUUUAUUUGAUAUGAAUCAUUUUCAAACAAAAACAACAAGUAAUUUUAAUCAAAUG